AGUUGUAGACGGUCUAUUU
rnacentral:snRNA from 1 species